rnacentral:sRNA from 1 species
UCAUAUUUCCGUUGUUUGAGGCCUUCA